rnacentral:snoRNA from 1 species
CAUGUUUUGUAAUAUAUUAAAAUUUUAAACUUUAUUUUAAAAGAGUUUAAAACAAAACAUGCCAGAGCAAUAGAACAAUUGGGUGUCCAUAUAACUUGAUUAUAGUUAGAUUUGGCCAAUAAUUGUUUGGAUA